rnacentral:sRNA from 1 species
AUGAUGACCAAUGGGGUUGUGCACGCCAAUGUGUUCGGCAUCAAGGACUGGGUGACGCCGUACAAGAUCGCGGUGCUGGUGCUGCUGAACGAGAUGAGCCGCACAGGCGAGGGCGCCGUCAGCCUCAUGGAGCGGCGGAGGCUCAACCAGCUGCUCCUGCCCCUGCUGCAGGGCCCAGAUAUUACACUGUCAAAACUUUACAAGUUAAUUGAAGAGUCUUGUCCACAGCUGGCAAAUUCAGUGCAGAUCAGAAUCAAACUGAUGGCUGAAGGCGAGUUGAAGGAUAUGGAACAGUUUUUUGAUGACCUUUCAGAUUCUUUCUCUGGAACUGAACCAGAGGUUCACAAAACAAGUGUAGUAGGUAUGAAACUCUUCUAAGAAGAGCAGAGAGUAUUUUCAUUGAAGUGAGCAGCUUUCUAAGUCAUGUCUAUCAUUGUUCUGCUAUAUCUGUGAACAGACACAGUGGGGAUGUUGGAGGUGUUGCAGUUUGUAUUUAUUGCCUUACUGUUUUGAUCUAUAUUUAAAUCAUUAACUGUGGAAAAGCACCUUCUGUUUUGUCUACAAUAGUAAGAGUCAGAGCCUGGUCCUGGGGUUUUUAGGGGUUCCCAGCUCUUUCUCACAGUCCUCUGGAUCACUUGCCUGCAUGGUCCAUCUGUAAGUGAGGGUCACCAGCCCAGACUUAAGAAGAGAGGUAAGUAAAAAUACAUUAUUGAUAUAGUAUGCAAAGUGAGGGCAUACGUGGUGUUUCUUUGAUGCUUUUCUAUUAGCUUUAUCCCGUGCUCUAUCCCUCUGGCUUUUUUGCAUGGUAAUUUUUAUGUUAUUCAGCGUGAGCUAUUUCUCUCUCUCUUCCUAUGUGCCAGGCUCUGGACGUGUAAGAUAGACAUGGAAUUUCCUCUUAUGGAGAUUACCUCUGGUUGGGGGAGCCAGUUGGUAAAAGUAAACACAUAAAUAUCAUUUCAGAUAGUGUAACAGCCAUGAAGAAAGUAAAAUGGAAGCCUUCAGGUGGAGGUGGGGUGGGUAGAUUGUGCCCUGUAUAAGAAGAAACCAGCUUUGUAAAGGACUGGGGAAGAACAUUCCAGGAGGAGGGAAUGGCAACUGCAAGUGUCUCUUUCUUACUCUUCUGAAGGAAGAAUUGCAGCAGACAGUCAUUGCCAUUGUGGAGUUGCCAUUGUGUAGCCUGGAUGUCAGUUAAUGCUUUCCCCUUGUCUCUCGUCUUAUUUUGUAGGUUUGUUUCUGCGUCACAUGAUCUUGGCCUACAGUAAGCUUUCUUUCAGCCAAGUGUUUAAACUGUACACUGCCCUUCAGCAGUACUUCCAGAAUGGUGAGAAAAAGACAGUGGAGGAUGCUGAUAUGGAACUGACCAGUAGAGAUGAGGGUGAAAGAAAAAUGGAAAAAGAAGAACUUGAUGUAUCUGUAAGAGAAGAGGAGGUAUCUUGCAGUGGGCCUCUGUCCCAAAAACAAGCAGAAUUUUUUCUUUCUCAACAGGCUUCUUUGCUAAAGAAUGAUGAGACUAAGGCCCUCACUCCAGCUUCCUUGCAGAAGGAAUUAAACAAUUUGUUGAAAUUUAAUCCUGAUUUUGCUGAAGCGCAUUAUCUCAGCUACUUAAACAACCUCCGUGUCCAAGAUGUUUUCAGUUCAACACACAGUCUCCUCCAUUAUUUUGAUCGUCUGAUUCUUACCGGAGCCGAAAGCAAAAGUAAUGGGGAAGAGGGCUAUGGCCGGAGCUUGAGAUACGCCGCUCUGAAUCUUGCCGCCCUGCACUGCCGCUUCGGUCACUAUACCUCGCCUCCCUGGGAAUACAGUCCCUUGUUCAACAGAGAGCUUUUGCUGGGAAGACGGCAAACAAGCUGAUGGAUGCCCUAAAGGACUCCGACCUCCUGCACUGGAAACACAGCCUGUCAGAGCUCAUCGAUAUCAGCAUCGCACAGAAAACGGCCAUCUGGAGGCUGUAUGGCCGCAGCACCAUGGCACUGCAACAGGCCCAGAUGUUGCUGAGCAUGAACAGCCUGGAGGCGGUGAAUGCGGGCGUGCAGCAGAACAACACGGAGUCCUUUGCUGUUGCACUCUGCCACCUCGCAGAGCUACACGCGGAGCAGGGCUGUUUUGCUGCAGCUUCUGAAGUGUUAAAGCACUUGAAGGAACGAUUUCCGCCUAAUAGUCAGCACGCCCAGUUAUGGAUGCUAUGUGAUCAAAAAAUACAGUUUGACAGAGCAAUGAAUGAUGGCAAAUAUCAUUUGGCUGAUUCACUUGUUACAGGAAUCACAGCUCUCAAUAGCAUAGAGGGUGUUUAUAGGAAAGCGGUUGUAUUACAAGCUCAGAACCAAAUGUCAGAGGCACAUAAGCUUUUACAAAAAUUGUUGGUUCAUUGUCAGAAACUGAAGAACACAGAAAUGGUGAUCAGGUAAGGGGUCUCUUGUGCAUCUCACGGAGAUGUGGUGGUGGAUCUUCUCAUCCUGUGUUUUCCUCUUUACGGUCAGUGUCCUACUGUCCGUGGCAGAGCUGUACUGGCGAUCUUCCUCCCCUACCAUCGCGCUGCCCAUGCUCCUGCAGGCUCUGGCCCUCUCCAAGGAGUACCGGUUACAGUACUUGGCCUCUGAAACAGUGCUGAACUUGGCUUUUGCGCAGGAAUGUGGUUCCUGUUUUAACGUAGUACAUGUCAGGUAAAAGCUCAUUCUUGGAAUCCCAGAACAGGCCUUAAGUCUUCUCCACAUGGCCAUCGAGCCCAUCUUGGCUGACGGGGCUAUCCUGGACAAAGGUCGUGCCAUGUUCUUAGUGGCCAAGUGCCAGGUGGCUUCAGCAGCUUCCUAUGAUCAGCCGAAGAAAGCAGAAGCUCUGGAGGCUGCCAUCGAGAACCUCAAUGAAGCCAAGAACUAUUUUGCAAAGGUUGACUGCAAAGAGCGAAUCAGGGACGUCGUUUACUUCCAGGCCAGACUCUACCAUACCCUGGGGAAGACCCAGGAGAGGAACCGGUGUGCGAUGCUCUUCCGGCAGCUGCAUCAGGAACUGCCCUCUCAUGGGGUACCCUUGAUAAACCAUCUCUAGAGAGGACAUCCCUGCUGGGCUGCUGUGCAGAGUAUAAGAUUUUGGACUUGUUCAUGUCCCCUCUCUCCCUUUAAAUGAUGUAUUUGUGACACCCUAUCUUGUCAAUAAACAGCAUUCUGAUUA